CUUUGUGAAGGAGAAAGAGUCAGUGCUCUGAGGAGCUGACCACGAGAAACGCUAGAAGGUGAGUGAAUACCUGGGACUGCCAGGGAGAAGCUGAUUCUGUUUUGCUUCCAAGACCUGAUUUCCCUCAGGCCUUUCCCAAAGGUAUUUGGAGCUGCCUGUGCUCGAGCAAGCUCCAUAUCUCUGCACGGCUCCCUUCUGCCUCCUGUGAGCAGUGAUAAUAUCACUUCUCUGCCUCCCAAGACUGCUAAGAACUGAAGCUCUGGGCUCCUCUGAGGAAGCAUAGAAAUUGAACAUGUGAGAUGACUACCCCAGAAACUUCAUGGGAUCUACACCACAUUCCUGAAACCUCAUCUGCAGGCUGGUUAUUCCACGCUUGUCUCUAACCUGCCUGGGACUCUCCGUGCUGCUCAGACUCCCCGUCCCUCACCUGCUGGCCGCACUUUGAUCCCGUGGUACGUCUGCAGCAUUGUCACGCCGCUCUCCACCCUGACACUGAGGCAAUACUGCCCCGCGUCCCUGAAAGUGUGGCUGAGGUUGUAGCAGGAGCCACUGAUCUCCACCAGAUGGCAUUUGUCACCUUCAAGUGGAAUGCACUCGGAUUUUAUAAGCCAGCAUAACGCCAGUGGUGGGCUGAAACGAGAUCACUGUCUGUACCACUGAAGCACACCCAAGACUGCUUUAAUUAAAACACUCUGCACAUGAAACUGGAAAGAAGAUGAGCUGUGCACAAAGGACUAAUAGCUGGAAAAUAUCCCUGUUUCAACUGAUUCUGCUUGAAGUCACCUUAUGCGCUAUAGACUUUGGUUCUGACAACAGACAGAGAUUUUCUUUACCCUAUUUUUUUUACCCUUUACCCUAGUUUUUUGUUUCUUAUCUCAUUACAACAUUCUUUGCUAAAAAAAGCAUCAGGUUUAUGUGUUUAGCUAAUUUUCUAGCUUUGUUUUUGAUAACCCAUCUCUUUGUCACUGCAUCUCUAUCUUAAACUCCUCUUGCAUCAGCCCCAGUCCCGUGACUAGAAGGUCACCAAGUCUGCUCUUAGUGAUCUCAGGUUUGCCUGUCACAGUUUUUGGCUGUUCACCUUUACUGGGAUGCCAUCUCUAGUUCCCAUUCCCAACAUGCCUCUCACUUUCUGAUUGCAAACUGUGCUAUUUUGUCUGUUGGGACUGUUUGGUAAAUGACUCUGUUUGGUGCUGCUCACUCCCAAACUCCAAUGUGCUCUAAUGCUGCAACUUGAGAGAGCUUGUGCAAGGAUUGAGGUGCUCACAACUCUCCUAUUUUAUUAUGAUCCUUGCUGCAUGGGGCUUCUAUGUCUCAUUCGUCUUGUGGCGAUCUGAACUUUGCCAGAAUCACUCCCCAAACCUAUUAAUCCCCUAUGAUACUCAAGAUUUGCUGCUAUGCAACAGGACUUGGAAUAUGUUUCAAUUUAAUAACAGAGAAAUUGGUGAAGGAGAAAAGUCCAGAAAGAAGUUUUCAGAUGUAUUUUCCCCCCACUAUUUCUCUGGCUACUUGUCUUUUAAGAUUCCCUUUACAAAGAUUUAAAAAAAAUAGUAUUUGCUUUACAUAGGAGGAUUCCACUUUUCUGUAAAGAUGCAGGGUCUUUCAGGCUUUUAGAGCUUGUGGCAUUUCAAGUCAGGAAAAUGCAAUAUUCAACAGUAUUUUUGGGAAGAAGAAGGUGGUUUUUGUUUUGUUUUUUAAUAAUUGUUAUGUGGGGUUCAACUGACUAUUUUGAGGAAACACUGGGGAAAAACACUUAAAGAGACAAUUUUAAGGAGGAAAGAAGUUGUGUUUGCUACUUACGUGCCAUUGAUAUGAAGAGACAAAUUCAGGUUUUCCAUUACACGAGUCUCUCUGGAGCCCACUAUGUCAAUACUUUUAACAGCAUCUGAGAAGAAAUGAAAAGCCAACAUGUCACACUCCCAAUGUCAACUUGAGUCUCACUGGUUUCCCACUGCAGAUUUAUUUCCACAGACUUGCAGAUUGGGGCUUCAUCAGUCACAUAAAUAAUACUGUUUCUCUCACACCCCUAAAGGAAACCUACCACUAGAGAUGUUGUAAGUUUCCUGACUUUUUGCCUGAUUCCUUUUUAUAUGUAUAAUCAACUUUAUUAAUUCUUUUCAUUUUUAAUUCUGUGUUUCUUUACUCCUGAGGCUGAUCAAAUCAAUGAGACUUUCCUAAUGCUUGAUUUAACUGCUUUAUUGUUUAGGGAUAGCUGGUGUAAAUUGAACAAACAAAUCCACCCUAAGUUACCAUAAAUACUUUGUUGUUUGAAUUGUAUGUAAGACUUUUACAAAAGACAGUAAAAUCAAAACUGAAGAUUUUAUCUGUUUCCACCAAAUUUUCUGCCCUAGAAGAGCAAGUUGUCAAUUCUGCAGUGGAAACACUUCACCCAAUGAUGUUGACCAGUCCUUGCACAUGAAACAAUGUUGAAUUUGUGUUACCAUGCCAAAGCUAGAUUGUAUCUGUGCAUACUAGAUUGUAUCUGUAUUCCCCAGCUUGUUCUGCAUUGGAGGUGCAGAAUGUUUCAUAAUUACCCAAGAGCU